AACUGGUGAACCCUGGGCUGCCAAAGUGGAGUGCGCCUCACCAUUGCCUGAUGAGCGGUGCCAUGUCUGCACCCAGGAUCCAAAUCGGCAAAGCCCUGGGUGGCCGAAGCAGAGCUGUUUUCCUCUAUCUUCAGAUGGGAUAAUUUCAAUGGAUCUACAUUCAAGUUCACUGACACUUUCUUCUGUUGUCUCCAAUCUGCUGUUAAGCCCAUUCGACAUAUUUAUAAUAGCUCCUUUGAAGACCUUGUCUGCUGUUUCCAAUAUCUUGGCCAUCUCAGGGGUUUUCUGUUGAGUACUUUUAAAAAAAUUUCUUAACAGUGAAUUACAUUUUCCUGCUUCUUUGAAGUUUAGGACUUUUUAUUCCACAUUAGGCAUUGUGGGGAGAAAGUGGUAGAAACUGUGCAUUCUGGUAUCUUCCUCCAAAAGUGUUUAUUUUUGUUCUAACAGACAGUUAAAUUACUGGUCAUUCUCUUUGACCUUGUGUAGACCAGGUUUAAUGCUUUGCUACAUUGUUUUAAAAUAUGAAACGUACUGUUUUAAAGACUGAUAUUUCACUAAAUCUAGCUGAGAUACAGUUGAAAGCAACUAUAACAACAACAAAAAACCCAUAAAUGAGUUGAAACAGUUUUACAAAGUAGAUUCAAACAGAAAGAGAGAAAAGAAGAACGAAGACAAGCCUGCUGUCUUCCCAUUGUGCAUAGGACUGAAUGCAAUCUCUUGAAAUUAAGAUUCAUCACCCUUUAGAGUCCCAUCCCAGAGGAAACGUCCAGUUUUCUCAUCUCUGCUAUAUUCUACUAACACGCGGCAGUAGGAUCCAACUCAGUUAGAGUCUCAGAGCUUCUGCAAAUGCUGUUUUCUACACCAAAACACUCUUAUGGUUAAUAUCUUCUAAACACUGCUCACAUGCUACUCACAAAACUUGUUCUAAUUCUAUCAGACAAGGCUGGGUCCUGCAUCCUGAGACCUUCCACAAUACUUUUUUUUCACGUCUCUAUUACAGAUUUUAUUUUACCAUAUCACUUUUCUACAGGAAUUCUUCUUAAACAUUUAUUCAUUUAUUCAACAACAACUACUCUGUACAUAAAACGUACCAGGCAUUGGCCUGGGUGCUCAGGAUGUACUGAUGAAGACAAUACAGAUGACUUCUAGCCUCAGAGUGUAGUGGGUAUUGUAUCCAGAUUUUAUCUUGAGAAGCAGUACUGGACAGUGGUUAAGGGAAUGAACUUUGGAUUACUGGGCAUUGUUUGAAGCCCACCUCUACCAUUUGUGAGCUGUGUGUCCUUAAACAAGUUACUUAAUUUCUCUGUGUCUCAUUUUCACCAUUUGUUAAUUGUAGAUAAUAUUUCAUAGGUUUCUUGUGAGCAGUAAAUAAGUUAAAAUGUAUAAAACAUUUAGAAUGGUGCCUGGCAUAUAAG
rnacentral:lncRNA from 1 species